CCCGCACAAGCGGUGAGCAUGUGGUUUAAUUCGACGCAACGCGAAGAACCUUACCAGGGCUUGACAUCUACAGAAUCCUGAGGAAACUCAGGAGUGCCCUUCGGGGAACUGUAAGACAGGUGGUGCAUGGUUGUCGUCAGCUCGUGUCGUGAGAUGUUGGGUUAAGUCCCGCAACGAGCGCAACCCCUAUGUUUAGUUGCUAGCGAGUAAAGUCGAGCACUCUAGACAGACUGCCGGUGAUAAACCGGAGGAAGUGGGGAUGACGUCAAAUCAUCAUGCCCCUUAUGUUCUGGGCUACACACGUGCUACAAUGGCCGGUACAAACGGAAGCGAAGCCGCGAGGUGAAGCAAAUCUGAUAAAACCGGUCUCAGUUCGGAUUGCAGGCUGCAACUCGCCUGCAUGAAGUCGGAAUCGCUAGUAAUCGCAGGUCAGCAUACUGCGGUGAAUACGUUCCCGGGCCUU
rnacentral:rRNA from 1 species